AACCUUUAGUUGGUUAAUGUGGCAUCAACACGAUGCUGUUUUAUGCUACACCAACACCAACACACCGAGGCUUAUUCCUGUGGAGUUAUAUAUGAGCGAUAAAAUUAUUCACCUGACUGAC
rnacentral:sRNA from 1 species